rnacentral:rRNA from 1 species
AGGACGAACGCUGGCGGCAUGCCUAACACAUGCAAGUCGAACGGAACUUGUUGAAAGAAGUUUUCGGAUGGAUUUUGAUAAGUUUAGUGGCGGACGGGUGAGUAACGCGUGAGCAACCUGCCUUUCAGAGGGGGACAACAGUUGGAAACGACUGCUAAUACCGCAUAACGUAUCGGAACCGCAUGGCUCUGAUACCAAAGAUUUUAUCGCUGAAAGAUGGGCUCGCGUACGAUUAGAUAGUUGGUGAGGUAACGGCUCACCAAGUCGACGAUCGUUAGCCGGACUGAGAGGUUGAACGGCCACAUUGGGACUGAGACACGGCCCAGACUCCUACGGGAGGCAGCAGUGAGGAAUAUUGGGCAAUGGGCGCAAGCCUGACCCAGCAAUGCCGCGUGAAGGAUGAAGGUUUUCGGAUUGUAAACUUCUUUUAAGAGGGACGAUAAUGACGGUACCUCUUGAAUAAGCCACGGCUAACUACGUG